rnacentral:lncRNA from 1 species
AACCAAUAGUAGCUAGGUAGUCAUAUAUAAUAAUAUAUAGUAAUAAUAUAAUAAUAAUAAUAAUAAUAUUAUAAUAGUAUUGUUUUCUGUUUAUAGUUUCUUCAAAUUUAAACUUUUUAAUUCUGGUGGUUGGUUAGCUGGCGAACAGUCAUGACAACGAACAUAUCAUCAUACAAAAUUGCCCCACCAGAAAUUUCGGGCUAAAAUCGCCACUGCUAUUCACACUAAAAUCUAAGCAUGUGCUUUUUUUAUGUGAUGUCUCCUUUAGGAUUUGUUUUGGCCAGGGACAUGUGUACGGGGGCACGGGCCACCCCAGGCCACCGUGUAGAACCGUCACUGCCUGUCAAUGAAGGCCUAACUGUAUAACUAGGAGAUAACAGUUCAAAUGAUCCGACUACCAGCAGCAGCUUUACCUCCAACACCACCAUCAUCAACAUUCACACCAUGAGCCUACAUCUCUGGCCCAGAGAGCACUGAAGGUAUUCUGGAGACUGGAAAUAUCGAAACAACACCAGAGUUUGAUCAAGCUAUUUCCAAAGGAGAUCUCCUCAAAAGGAUUCGUGACCUGCAGAUGGAGCGUGCUGAAGACGCUGAUAAAUUGCCAGUGGCAAUGUCCAUUCUACUCAAAAAAACUAUUUAUUUGGAAGUGGUACUGUAUUGUAUGGUGGUGAUUUAUGGAUUACUACACCUGCCAUGUGUGGAAUGGUUCUACUACAAAUUCAUCAAGCCUAAACGAGGGGUAGAAGAGGAGAACAAGGAACACUCAUCUUAAAGAUGUAUGCAUGGAGGAAUGUUCCAGCUGAAACCGUUUGAAUGUUUUCCCGGCAUUGUAUUUUAAAUCCUAACUGUAUUUGUUUCAUUAAAACAUGAAGAAGAAUUC